UACGGGGGGGGCAAGCGUUGUUCGGAAUUACUGGGCGUAAAGGGCCAGUAGGCGGCCAACUAAGUCGGAUGUGAAAUCCCCAGGCUUAACCUGGGAACUGCAUCCGAUACUGGAUGGCUUGAAUUCGGGAGAGGGAUGCAGAAUUCCAGGUGUAGCGGUGAAAUGCGUAGAUAUCUGGAGGAAUACUGGUGGCGAAGGCGGCAUCCUGGACCGACAUUGACGCUGAACGGCGAAAGCUAGGGGAGCAAACGGG
rnacentral:rRNA from 1 species